AUACUUUAAACCAAGCACUUACUCACGAGGAGGAUUUAUGUAAAGUAUAUUUUACCCCCACCUUGUGAAAUUACAUAAAUAGUGCGUUAAACUCACGCUUUAAUUAAACUUUGGGUGAAACUGCUUACAAAAGCGUUAAAAAACUACAAUUUUUAGCAACCAGAAAAUGAUAGACGGAUUACGACGCUGUCUGCCAUUGCUCCUUUGAGUAUAGAUAAUCGCGAAACACACAUGAAAGAUAAGGAGGAUGACAUUUUUUCAUUAGCCAACAGAAGAUGGUGCUCAUGGUUGACCAACAGACAUUCUGCAUUUUAGGAUGCACAUUAGAAUUUCUGGUUCACUGGGGUUUCGUGGAUGUAGGCCAGGCUGGGGUAUUUGGCUUUUGCAUUUAUUUGCAUUUCAGUUUCCCUCUUGACUCAUCCUAAAGGAAAUGCUGGAGCCUCUCUGGUGAGUUUGCAUACUGAUCUACAGAUGAUGAAGUCUUUAUUCUACUUCAUCCUGCCCCUCACCCAUCUCUACAAGAGGAAAACCUAUGUGAGAAUGCUGUCCACUGAACGGAAUAUCCAAUUACUCUUCAUUAUGUAGUAAAUACAUUCAUAUCUUUCUCCAGUGUAUCAUAUACAUCCUUUUGCAUUUACCAUGCGUACCCGUUCACCUGAAUGGUUUAGUGUGUCAAAACGUUUGACUGAUAAUUUAUGUGCCUUAUGUUAUUUGAUGUUUCCAUACUAUUUGUUGCUGCUGUUCUAUUUUCACACAUUUCUUUGUUUAUGUGUACUAGAACAAAUGCAAUUGUAAUGCAUUAGUUGUAUAGGUAUCACAGAUGAUUUAAACAGAUGCUGCCAGGCACUUCUUUCUGUUUCCUCUGCCCUUCUUCAUGCCUCCUCACUCAAAUCUCUGAAACUAUCCAUCAUAAUUGUAAUGCAAUUGCAUAGGUUCUUUCCUUGUUAAAUUCAUUUUUGCUGUAAACCUAGUCAAAAUCUAGUUCCACGAUCAUCGGCAACAGCUCCGCGUUCAACACCAUGAUACUCUUUAAGGUCAUCACUACGCUCAGGACCCAGGGACUGAACGUGAUGGGCAACGAGCGUAGUCAACAGCACAUGGACCAAGCUGACGCUGACCCAGGAGUCUGUGGAUGUGCACCACUCCGACACCAACUUUCACGUUUGCUAGUUGUAGACCUGAUCACUGUUGAUGAUGACGAGACUGGGAGGAGCUCAGAGAUCUGUCAGUCUGGUGCUUGGAUAACAAUCUCCCCCUCAACAUAAUCAAGACAUAGAAGCUGAUCACGCACUACAAGAAAUGUCGGGAAAUCUUUGUCCGCUUUGACAGCACUGAAGUGAAAUUAGUCGAGAACUUCAGGUUCCUCAGGGUACACGUCACUCAGAAAGGAACAUGGUCCGCACACACACACACACACACACACACAUACACACACAAAGUUCAUCACCAGGGCCCAGUUCCCUGACAUUCAGGACCACCACACUAGGUGGUGUCAGUGGAUGGCCCAGAAAUAUACUCCAGCCACCUACUUCAUUGAUUGUUUUCAAUGCUGCCGUAUGACAUACACAAUUAUUAAGCUAAGUUGCAGCAUUGAAUGCUGGUAUUUGAGUAGGUAGUCAGCAAAGGCCUGCUCCAUGUAGAGGGGAAGGGAGCAGCCCACUGCAAGAACGUCUUCCUCCCUCAGCCUUCCCCUGGCCUCAGGUCCACAACAUGGCCAGGUCAAGCAAUGCAUACAUCCUCAUGUGAGUGGCAGCCAUUAACCACCUGUACAACAGACUCCACUAUGCUCACUCAGUGUGUGAAAUUCAGAAAAAUGGUUUGCAGGUUACCAGAA